rfam:Apaloderma vittatum contig81761, whole genome shotgun sequence.
ACACAGGUUUUUUUUAAAACCAAAAAAAAAAGCUGGAAAAAGAUG